UACAGAGGUCUCAAGCGUUGUUCGGAAUUACUGGGCGUAAAGGGCGCGUAGGCGGCCUUCUAAGUCGAACGUGAAAUCCCCGGGCUCAACCCGGGAACUGCGUCCGAUACUGGGAGGCUUGAGUCCGGGAGAGGUGAGUGGAACUCCGAGUGUAGAGGUGAAAUCCGUAGAUAUUCGGAAGAACACCAGUGGCGAAGGCGGCUCACUGGCCCGGUACUGACGCUGAGGUGCGAAAGCGUGGGGAGCAAACAGG
rnacentral:rRNA from 1 species